rnacentral:rRNA from 1 species
UACGUAGGCAGCAAGCGUUGUUCGGAAUUACUGGGCGUAAAGAGUGUGUAGGCGGUGCUCCAAGUCUGGUGUGAAAUCUCCCGGCUUAACUGGGAGGGUGCAUUAGAAACUGGAAUGCUAGAGGAUGGGAGAGGUAAGCGGAAUUCCUGGUGUAGCGGUGAAAUGCGCAGAUAUCAGGAAGAACACCCGUGGCGGAAGGCGGCUCUCUGGGACGGUACUGACGCUGAGACGCGAAAGCGUGGGGAGCGAACAGG